rnacentral:rRNA from 1 species
CACAGGGGUUGCGAGCGUUGUCCGGAAUUACUAGGCGUAAAGGGCAGGCAGGCGGAUCCAUAAGUUUAUCGUUUAAGGCGUCGGCUUAACCGGCGUAGGGCGGUAGAUACUGUGGAUCUGGAAUGCGGAUGGGGAAGACAGAAUUCCUGGUGUAGCGGUGGAAUGCGCAGAGAUCAGGAGGAAUACCGAAGGCGAAGGCAGUCUUCCAAGCCGUUAUUGACGCUCAACUGCGAAGGUGUGGGUAUCAAACAGGAUUAGAUACCCGCGUAGUCCCU